rnacentral:sRNA from 1 species
UGGAGCUGGUGGACCGGGCGGCUGACCGAGGGGCGGACGCGCGGCGGGGCAGACCGCUGGGGACUGCGGGCGGCGCUGUGUCCGUCGCCAUGACAGAUCAGACCUAUUGUGACCGCCUGGUGCAGGACACGCCUUUCCUGACAGGCCACGGGCGCUUGAGUGAGCAGCAGGUGGACAGGAUCAUCCUCCAGCUGAACCGUUACUACCCACAGAUCCUUACCAACAAGGAGGCGGAAAAGGUGCUGAGGAGGUGCCACGUGCAGGGCUAUCCUGAGGGUUGGGGCAUCUCCUGGAACAAUGAGGUUGGCCCACAACACAACAGGAGUCAACACGGGCCCUGCUACUGGCUCAGUUCCGGAACCCUAAGGCAUCCUUGCGUGUGCGGCUCUGUGACCUCCUGAGCCACCUGCAGCGGAGCGGUGAGCGGGACUGCCAGGAGUUCUACCGAGCCCUGUAUAUCCAUGCCCAGCCCCUGCACAGCGCCUGCCCAGCCGCCACGCUCUGC